GGAAGAUCCAAUGUUCAAAUGGAAUUCGGUUCAUCUUCCUUGGCCCGAUCGUAGCCCGGAUUUGAACCAUAUCGAGCAUAUUUGGGACACUAUUUGGCGGAAAGUGCGCGAAAGGACACCCCAGUUCAAACACAUCAUGAAAUAAACAAUGCCCUUCAUCAGAAAUGGUUGCUGCUACCUUAGCAACAAAUUAGUCGAUUUAUGGAAGCAAUCAGAAGACGUUUAGAUGCGGUUAUCCGUUUGAAUGGAGGCUGCGCACAAAGUACUAAUUCUUUGGCGUAUAACGAUCAACCAUGAUGUGAACAGUCAUCUGAAGAUUAAUUUUGAAAUGUCUGACAUUGCAAAGUUCGACUACAGUAAAAGUUGUAAAAUGCAUUUUUUUGUACAAAUAACACUUCAUUUUGUUAUUAAAAUUGUGGUUAUAUAAAUAAUUUUUUUUUCAAACAUUUUUUGUUCGUUUCAAUGCCAAUGUUAUCAUAAACUAUGUUUCAAUAAUA
rnacentral:lncRNA from 1 species